AUUGAACGCUGGCGGCAGGCCUAACACAUGCAAGUCGAGCGGGGUUUUCGGACCUAGCGGCGGACGGGUGAGUAAUGCGUAGGAAGCUGCCCGAUAGAGGGGGAUACCAGUUGGAAACGACUGUUAAUACCGCAUAAUGUCUACGGACCAAAGUGUGGGACCUUCGGGCCACAUGCUAUCGGAUGCGCCUACGUGGGAUUAGCUAGUUGGUGAGGUAAUGGCUCACCAAGGCGACGAUCUCUAGCUGGUUUGAGAGGAUGAUCAGCCACACUGGAACUGAGACACGGUCCAGACUCCUACGGGAGGCAGCAGUGGGGAAUAUUGGACAAUGGGCGCAAGCCUGAUCCAGCCAUGCCGCGUGUGUGAAGAAGGCCUGCGGGUUGUAAAGCACUUUCAGCGAGGAGGAAGGGGUGUGUGUUAAUAGUACACACCUUUGACGUUACUCGCAGAAAAAGCACCGGCUAACUCUGUGCCAGCCGCCGCCGUAAGAC
rnacentral:rRNA from 1 species